GGGUUCCGGGCCGUCACUGUGACCUGGCCGAGCGCGGGCCGAACGCGCGGCCCUGCCAUUGUUCGCCGGGUUCAUCUUCCCAGGAGGCCCGUCCGCGGGGCUUCGUUUGUUUUCGUUUCCCUUUCUUUUCCUGUGGAGCCUGUAAGAGCUCUCUCCGUCCCCCCGCCAUCUCCCCGGGAGCUCGCGGAGGGCUCUCCAGGCACACACUCUCCUCCAAAGGGGGAGGGAUGGACGCAAGUGAGACCCCAUAACCGCCUGGGCUGCACACGCAGGGCCCCGCUUCUCCGUCGUCAGGUUUCUCAGCCGCUCCCGGAACCUGCCGGAUCCCCCUCCAUCCCCGCGAGCAUCUGUUUAGAGGAAGCGGGCAGCGGGUCGCCAUGGCCUCGCCAUCGGCUCAGCAGCUGGAGGAGGACGACAGCCUGAGGGGCUGCGAGCUCUACGUGCAGAAGCACAGCGUCCAGCAGGUGCUCAAGGACUGCAUCGUGCAGCUUUGCAUCUCCAAGCCCGAGCGCCCCAUGAGGUUCCUCCGGGAGCACUUCGAGAAGCUGGAGAAGG